AUCCACAAAAUCACUGCCACCUGCUCCACUCUUUUUUGGUCUCUGCCAGCACCGUCGCCGUCCAAUCCGACACUCGCUGUCAGUCUCAGCCCAUCUCCCGGCGUCACUAUUAGGCUCUUUCUCCCCGUCGUUCAUUCUCAGUAUCUCUGUUCUAUCUUCUCUCUUCGAGUCGUCGUCAGCGCCGUGGUGCUCCGUCUCCUCCUUCAUCCUCCACUUCCAGAGUUCCAAUGGAGCUUCAGCCUCAGGAUGAUCAUGAAGGUGUUAGGAACGUGGAUGAUGACAACUUUAUAGAUGACACUGGGGUGGAAGCUGGUGGUUACUAUUGGCAGUGAUGAACCUCGUUCUCUUGGUGAUGCUCCCCAGAGGAUGAUGAAAUUAAGGAUCUUUUCAAGAUAGGUAAGAAAAAGAAGAAGAAUAAGAG